UGUUAAAAAUUUUAUCAUUUUCUACUGGUUGAUAGAAUAAUCAGAUAACUGCACAUGGUGUAUUAUAUGUACCUUAAGUUGAUAUACAAAGACUAAUUUUUAACAAUAAAAAUAGAUAAAAUUUUUAACA
rfam:Gossypium hirsutum cultivar TM-1 chromosome 20, whole genome shotgun sequence